rnacentral:tRNA from 1 species
GGUUAUGCAGCGGUCAGUAUCCCCGCCUGUCACGUGGCAGGCCGGGGUUCGAUUCCCCGCCG